GCAUAAUGGUCUUGAACUGGGGAUCCUCCAUGAUUGCAGUAUAGAAUCUGAAAGGUUUGGGGUGUAGAAGUCUUUGGCUGCCAAAUCUAAUGAGAAUAGGGGAAUGGUCAGAAACCGAAGGGUUCAUGAAAUCAGCUUCAAGGUGUCCAUACUGUCUAAUCCACUGAAAAUUUCCCAAAGCCCAGUCAAUCUUACUAUAAACUCUACUGUCAUUGCCCUGCUUAUUUGUCCAAGUAUAAUGCCACCCUUUAGCUCGAAGGGGAGUAAGUUGAAGAUCAAUUGAACCCUCUGAUUUCAGCAUCAGUGACAGGAGAACCAAUUCUGUCUUCAAAACAUAAUACAGUAUUGAAAUCCCCACUCAGUACCCAAGCAUCCUGACUGGGAAUGUUGAUUGCCAGAUCCACCUGUUGACCUCUUCUACCAGCAUCCAGUAUAUCAAUAGUAGUUUUCCCCUUGUUGGUGUUAUCAAUCAGAACCUCACUGAUCCCAGUAGGUACCCCUGUAGCUGUAGUAUUCCUGCCAGAGCCAACUAGUUCAUGCUAUUCCUCAGUACUAUUCCCCAGCUGCAUAUCACUGGUAUGUUGUUGAAUAGUAAUCCCAGUAGUAUUAGUUUCCAGCUGCACUGUCUCUAUGUUCUGGUUGAUCUGGCAUAGUUACCAUUGCAUCUGCAACGGUCUUAGGAACCCAUUCUUGUUUAGUAACUUUGACCAGUUUUGGCAUUCUAGUUCUCUGCCUUCUUCCCUUCUCCCGCUCACCAUCAACCAUCUACAUCAUUGCCUGCAUUAUACCAGCAGUCAAGUCAUGGCCAAAUUUCAGGCAAUGAUUGCAAAAACUAGGUUUCCAGUCAUAUUCGAUCUGUUGCACUUUCAGGCCAUAAGGAGUUUCAGUUUCAAUCUGAUCGGGUAGGGAAUGAGCAGCAUCAACCUCUACUAAAACUCUCGCAAAAGAGAUCUUCG
rnacentral:lncRNA from 1 species